CCUGAGGCCUCGAGGGGGACAGGACUCUCCCAAGGUUGCUCCGUGGUGAUACCCUUACCUCCUCCUAUUCAUUUUCAGGUUGCUGCCAAGAAGAGAGAAAAAUGGAGUCCUGAUCCCCAAGUCCCUCUUCAGAUACCAGCUGCUGGAUCCCAGCUCACAGACCAGACGCCAGAGGAUGAGAUGAGCCCAGUCACCCAGGUAGCCGCUCUGCCCUGCCCUGCUCCCCAGGUGGGAGACACACCACCUUGUCAGCC